rnacentral:rRNA from 1 species
GACAGAGGUGCCGAGCGUUAGGCGGAAUCACUGGGCUUAAAGCGUGUGUAGGCGGAUGCCUAAGUGCUUUGUGAAAUCCCACGGCUCAACCGUGGAAUGGCUUGGCAUACUGGGUGUCUUGAGCUGCCUAGGGGCAACUGGAACAAACGGUGGAGCGGUGAAAUGCGUAGAUAUCGUUUGGAACGCCAACGGUGAAAACAGGUUGCUGGGGGCAAGCUGACGCUGAGACACGAAAGCCAGGGGAGCAAACGGG